GCUCAGAACCCCGUCGGCCAACCUUUUCUUUGGUACUUUAUCAGAACUAACUCGGAGCACUUGGUCAAAAAGGGCUAUUUAUCUGAAGAGUCUUUGGUCUUCAUUAUAACCAGUCUUAUGUCGACUGAGUUACAGCUCCAACAGUUCCUGCAGUUCAAAGAGGAAUUUAAAGAGCAGAUGAGCUUGGGAGAGGAGAAUGUUGAGAUGUUCAACACUGUGGAGGCCAACAUGAAAUGGAUUGAGAGGUACAAGAAAGAGCUGCACGACUGGCUCAUUAGUGAAACUUCAGAGAAGUAAUCCGGCUUUAUACCUUCCCAAAGAACAAUAGACCAAAUGUUAUUACGGGUGAUUAUGUCAAGAUUUAUAGUUUGUAGUUUUUGGAGUUUUUCUUUGGAAAAUGUUAUGGAAUAAGAAUUUCUGAUAUUCUAAUUUGUGUUUAAACCUUACUGUUGAAAUGAUAUUUGAAAGACAGAUAUCAGUUUGUUUUUGAUCCGCACACACUGAUGUUACUUAUAGAGUUCCUCAAGGUUUAGUGUUUGGACCAGUUUUGUUUACCUUUUGCAAAGUUUGGAGCCAUUUUUAGGAAACAUUAUUGUAUGUUGGUGAUAUUUAGC
rnacentral:lncRNA from 1 species